UAUUGUUUAGAGAAAUUAGAUAGACUUGAAAUUUAUUUAAACUAUAAAAGGCUAGGGGUGCAAAACUCCUAUCAUUGC
rnacentral:tRNA from 2 species